rnacentral:rRNA from 1 species
AACGAACGCUGGCGGCAUGCCUAACACAUGCAAGUCGAACGAGACCUUCGGGUCUAGUGGCGCACGGGUGCGUAACGCGUGGGAACCUGCCCUUAGGUUCGGCAUAACUCUCCGAAAGGGGUGCUAAUACCGGAUAAUGUCUUCGGACCAAAGAUUUAUCGCCGUUGGAUGGGCCCGCGUUGGAUUAGCUAGUUGGUAGGGUAAAAGCCUACUAAGGCGACGAUCCAUAGCUGGUUUGAGAGGAUGAUCAGCCACACUGGGACUGGGACACGGCCCAGACUCUUACGGGAGGCAGGAGUGGGGAAUAGUGGACAAUGGGCGAAGGCCUGAUCCAGCAAUGCCGGGUGAGUUAUGAAGGCCUUAGGGUUGUAAAGCUCUUUUACCCGGGAUGAUAAUGACGGUACCGGGAGAAUAAGCCCCGGCUAACUCCGUG